CUUCCCAAGGCUGUUGGGGAAAUAAGAAGAGCUGAGAGGGAAGCAUUCUCAAAAGCCCUGGACUGAUAUAAGGGCAUUGUUUUAUUAUUAUUAUUUCAAAGAGUUAGCAAAUACCCAUCCUGAAUCAGCGGGCAGAACCAGUGACCCAGAACUUGGAGAUCUGAGGCUGUCUGGGAGAGAGCCACCUGCUCUGAUGACUAACAGCAGGGCAGACACUUCCACCUGGCCUCUCAGCUCCUGGCUCAGAAGGGCCCUGGGUGAAACAUUACUGAGAUGAAACAAGUUCCCAGGCCCCAAGAAGGAGGAGAAGCACACACUGUCCAGCUCACUCCAGGCCCCACCACCACCAGUGGCCACAGCGUGCAAGAAGGACACAACCAGUAGCAUCACAACCAGUGGGAGCCCCUGAAGUAGGUGAAGGUGGAGACCCCAGCGGAUGACAUUUAUUGUAGGAUUUUUGGAGACCCCCCUUGAUCAGGUGGCUGCUGGGUCCUUCAAAAAUCCAGGAAUAUUUUGUGAUUUUAUUGCUUUCUAAUAUAAGAAAGUAUUUCAAUUCAUUUUAUACUUUUUCUGUACCAGACCUGAAAAUAGU